rnacentral:lncRNA from 1 species
CGCCUUUCAUUUACCCUCUUGUUGGUAAUGUCUGUUGCUCCUUUUGAUUGGUCAUCCUUAUAUACCUAGUUUGGUAUCCCGAUGCCUUUCUUUUCGGUUGAUUUAUCCUUUAUUUAACCCUUAUACCGGUUGUGGAUAAUCUUCCAUGCGAGUAUGUUAUUCACGGUCUGCCGGUAAUGAAUAAUAUAUCUCAUGCACUCUUCAGUCGAAGCCUUUUGUGUUUCCCUGGUCGAGUAAGUUUC